UGAGUAACGCGUGAGGAACCUGCCUUCCAGAGGGGGACAACAGUUGGAAACGACUGCUAAUACCGCAUGAUACGUUGGAGCCGCAUGACUCCGACGUCAAAGAUUUAUCGCUGGAAGAUGGCCUCGCGUCUGAUUAGCUAGUUGGUGAGGUAACGGCCCACCAAGGCGACGAUCAGUAGCCGGACUGAGAGGUUGGCCGGCCACAUUGGGACUGAGAUACGGCCCAGACUCCUACGGGAGGCAGCAG
rnacentral:rRNA from 1 species